rnacentral:tRNA from 1 species
GUUAAAAUAGUUUAUAAAAAAUAAUGAAAUGUGGCCUCAUAGAUACUGUAUAGUUUUUAACC